AUUGAACGCUGGCGGCAUGCUUUACACAUGCAAGUCGAACGGUAACAGGCCUUCGGGUGCUGACGAGUGGCGAACGGGUGCGUAAUGCAUCGGAACGUACCCAGAGGUGGGGGAUAACGCAGCGAAAGCUGUGCUAAUACCGCAUGUGAUCUGAGGAUGAAAGCGGGGGACCGAGCAGCAAUGUUUGGCCUCGCGCCUUUGGAGCGGCCGAUGUCGGAUUAGCUAGUUGGUGGGGUAAAGGCCUACCAAGGCGACGAUCCGUAGCUGGUCUGAGAGGACGACCAGCCACACUGGAACUGAGACACGGCCCAGACUCCUACGGGAGGCAGCAGUGGGGAAUUUUGGACAAUGGGCGCGAGCCUGAUCCAGCAAUGCCGCGUGCGGGAAGAAGGCCUUCGGGUUGUAAACCGCUUUUGGCAGGAACGAAACGGUGUCCGCUAAUACCGGGCGCUAAUGACGGUACCUGCAGAAUAAGCACCGGCUAACUACGUG
rnacentral:rRNA from 1 species